UUUCCACACAGGCGCCGACAGGCAGAAGCAGUUUGGAAACGCAACAUAAAUCCCCCCAAAGCUUAAAGACAAAAAGGAACAUAAGACGAAAGGGAUUGUCAUCGUUUUUGAUAAUGCAUUUUAAAAAAUUUUGUUUACGUGUUACGUUUCCCGAUAAGAUUGUGUCGAAAGUGUGAGACACCAUGUGAAGACGAUUUUUCUCCGCUCAGUUUCAAAGAACUUGCGCAGCGGGAGAAGACCCAAACAUGUGCGUGUGUUUUCGCUUGUGCGUCAGUGUUUCAGAGUUUAUGUGUUUGUACAGUUUGCUCUUAGAAAACAUGCGCAAGGAUCCAUGACCAUGAAUGUCGGGCCUUUGUGGUAAAUGUAGUUCUGCUAUUUAUGCAAUAUGAGUAAAGAAAAUGUAAUUGGCCUGGAAAGGCUCGCCCACAGAAAGACGCAAGUGGCUCGAAGACCCGCAAGUUGUUUUCCUCAUACUCCCUCGGUUGUGUGUCCCACCCCCUAUUUGGGAAACGAAGUAAUAAGGGAGUCCAUUGCUUCGUAACUAUAGCCAUGAGAAGAUGCCUGCUCUGACUUUGCCUUCCACUGUGAAUAAAAGCUUCCUGAGGCCUCCUCAGAAGCAGAUGCUGCCAUGCUUCCUGUACAGCCUGUGGAACUGUGAGCCAAUUAAACUUUUCUUUAUAAAUUAUCCAGUCUCUAGCCAGGUGUGGUGGUGUGUGCCUGUAGUCCCAGCUACUUGGGAGGCUGAGGCAGGAGGAUUGCUUGAGCUCAGGAGUUCGAGGCUGCAGUGAGUUAUAAUUGCACCACUGUACUUCAGCCAGGGCAACAGAGCAAGACCCUGUCUCAAAAAUAAAUAAAUAAAUAAUAAAUUACCCAAUCACAGGUAUUUCUUUGUAGCAGUGAGAGAAUGGACUAAUACACCCUCCAUACCACACCCUACUACUUCACCUCCCUUUCCAACUACUGUAGAAGAUACUCACUGUUAUCAUUUACUAUCUUAUAAGUGCAAAAACUAAAGUUUAAAGAGGUUAAGUAAUUGGCUCAAGGUAUCACAGCUGGUAAACAGAGGCACUGAGAUUUGUUCUCUUUUGGUUUGACCCUAGAACCCUCUCCUAACAUUUUUUUUUUAUUUUGACUCUUGUUUGGCAGAAUAAGUAGCAAGGACACCAUCAUCUUUGCUGAGGAAAGAUGACUAUUAUUAGUAGUAGGCAAGUGGAGAGUCGUCAGUGUUCCAUCAGCUUUUCCCCUGUGUCUCUCAUCCCAUGAAUGAAGAGCAGAUGUGAAAAUUGCUG
rnacentral:lncRNA from 1 species